rnacentral:lncRNA from 1 species
CCAGAGCAAAUCACAUGCAAUGUGCUGCAGCCGCAAAUAUUGGCCUUCAGUAUUGUGUUAUACAGUUUUGUAUCUCAAUGCUAUGCAGUCUUGUAAUGAUUUUAAUAGCCCUUUUGUUUAAUAUAUACAUGUAUAUAAAUCUAUACAUUAAUUGCUUUGUGUAUUAAGCUGUACCCAUCUCUAUGUAAUCUCUCUGACUUUACGGUACCUGCACAACAGACUUUUUUUGCUCAAACCCAAAGCCUUUGAAAACCUGAAGAUAUUUUGACCCAAUCCAACUGUGGCCUACGUUUCUUAGGUUGUUGAUCAAAAAAGACGAUUGACUUGAUUAGGUGGUUUUAUCACUUACACUUUUGCUUUACCAUAUUAAGAAAUAAUAUUAUCCUUUACCAAGUUGUGACACCAAACAAGGUGGUGGUUGUCCCUCUAGCUCAAUGUAAAUGAAAAUGAUUCCAGCACCAUUCUUUUUACACCAGUGGUUAAAUAAAAGUUGACACACCAUGUUUUGGAGGAUCCUUCCCCUCAGUGCUGCUGUCGAUCUCUCUCCUGUCAAACGGGUUGACAUGACCCUGACGAAAACGAGCAAGUCUUUCAUUAUAUUCCAUGACACUGGUCACAUCUGUAAAUGACAGACAUGAAAAUUCUGUCAUCAUUUUAUGUCACAUCUUAAUCUCUUUUUAGAUUCAAGGACAGAACAAACUUUCAGCUCUUCUGGGAGUACAAUACCUACAAAUACCUACUUUGACAAUGGAUUAGAAAAUAAACGUAUAAAAUAAACAUACUUUAGAUGACAAAGUAUUUUUCACAAAUAUAUAUUUAAUAAAAAUAUAAUUAAAAAGGAAGUAAACACUAACCAACAGGUUUGUGUGCAUUGGGAAUCAUAUUUUUCAAAUAAAGCCAGGGUAACACUCAUUUCACAUCCAGCACACAGUGAAAGUGACAUGAAUAAGACAGUGGGCAAAUGCAUAAAGCGCAGCAUAAUUUGAAAUCAUGAGUUUAAAGUUUAAAGCAUUCAAUUCACACAGACCGACCGUCAGACAGAGAACACGAGAUCAUGCCGGAUAAAAAUGCACACUUCACAAGAUCUCACAGCUGGAGUCGACUAAGUUUGCAAGGUUUGUGAAAAGAAAUGUUCAUUAGUCAUUCAAAGAUUUGUUUAAAUGAUAUAAAUGCGUAUUUGCUUAAUGCUGAAGCCAAAUGAGAAAGUAUUAUAAUGUUUGCCUUUCUAUUACUAAUAAUAUAAAAGCAAUCGUUAUACUUUUUGUAUGCAUAAAUUCCUUUAACCAUGCUAUCUGAUUAUUAGACAAACUACUUUCUGCAUUAGACAGAAGUGUUAAUGACAGUAAACAAGAGGAGGAUGUGAGCACUGUGUGCUCAGGCGCCGCUGAUCACAGCGCCGUCCAAAUAAAAGUCCCGCCUCGAACACAUCGGUCAAGCAGAAAAACUUAUCAUACCACAUAAUUGUGUUUCAUUAUGUUAACCACUAUUUGGUUCAAAUCCAUGGUUUCCAGCCUAUCCACACCCUGCCCAGUAUAUUGGGGUCAGUUGCC